CUAAACUGCAAAACACAUAUAGCCCAAAGGUUUUAGAUAGGAGGCUGUGGGGCUGCACUGAGAGUCUGCUGCUGCAGUUAAACUCCUGCCUGCUCUUUGAACCACUGAUGAGUUGGACUUGCAGGACCCCAGGGGCUGUGUUCUGAUCAGUGAGUGGGGUCUGGAAAUAGUUUGAAACAGACAUUUCUGGUGUUCAGUUUGAAUGCAGCUCCUGCUGCCCCUGAGACGUUUGCCUCCUGUCGCAGCCUAAUUAUCCAGUGUUCACAGUGUCUGCCUCAUUUGCCUUUGCCUGGGUUUCUCAUUCUCACUGCAUUUCCCUUCUAGGCCUGAAUUUUAACCCUACUUUGCAAAUCUGCUUUCCUGAGUUUUGUUUCUAUCAACCCCUUUCUCCCGGACUGCACCUGGCUUCCUAUAUCACUUACAUCGACUCUGCUCAGCAUGCAGAUCUGUGACUCAGGGCUCAAGUUUCCGCCCUGGCCUGUCUCAGGCCUGUGUUGUGUUCUCUCUGACACUCAGAUCCUGAGAGUUGGAUACAGGGUCUUCCGUGGAGAGCUUCUCGGUGUGGAUUCUCAUCAUCAUUAGAGUUGCUGAGGGCAUAUGUUUUGGACUUUUCUUGCCUGAUUUGUGAGAUUCUGCUGACAUCCAGGAAAGUGCUGCAAAAAAAACCUGUUGCUCAUAUCCAAGCUUAUGUGUUUCGUGGCAGAGCCACGAGCACUGAGCUCAAGUUUCUUGACAACAAGUCUUAUUUAUGGAGAAACAAACAUAGGCGGUAUUUCGUGGGACCAUGCUGUUCUCUUUCUAACUGUGCUCAUAGUAUACUCCUGUCUACGAUGUCUUAGCCAAUGAAACCACAUCUUAAAAGGCUCAAGUCACAGGUUGAUCCCUCUAGAAAUGCUCCCCCAGUCCACAAGUUGGAGCUUAGAAUUGAAGAAAACGUAUGGAUGUGAGAGUUGGACUGUGAAGAAGGCUGAGCACCGAAGAAUUGAUGCUUUUGAACUGUGGUGUUGGAGAAGACUCUUGAGAGUCCCUUGGACUGCAAGGAGAUCCAACCAGUCCAUUCUAAAGGAGAUCAGAAGGGUGUUCUUUGAAAGGACUGAUGCUGAAGCUGAAACUCCAAUACUUUGGCCACCUAUUGUGAAGAGUUGACUCGUUGGAAAAGACCCUGAUGCUGGGAAAGAUUGAGGUCAGGAGGAGAAGGGGACGACAGAGGAUGAGAUGGCUGGAUGGCAUCACCAACUCAAUCGACGUGAGUUUGAGUGAACUCCGGGAGUUAGUGAUGGACAGGGAGGCCUGGUGUGCUGCGAUUCAUGGGGUCGCAAAGAGUUGGACGCGACUGAGCAACUGAACUGAACUGAACUGGACUGAACGCUUUACUUGGUCAUUUAAGUGUAUGGUGGCUGGUGUUUGUGGAUUUAUUCAUUUUGGAGAUGCUCUGUUUGCUUUUUUGCUAAUUCUAAUUCAGAGUUAUGAAUCCUGCUUUCAUUUUCUUCUCUGUUACUUUGUGCUUGCAACUUCUUUCUGAUUUUCCUAGGUAUGAAAAAGAGAAAUCUUGAGAUACGCAUCAAAACAACACCAAACAGAAACACAGUUGUGCAAAGCAGAGAGGCCUCAUUAAACUUGUGUUUUUUUUAAGUUACUUAAAAAUCAAGAAUGACCUUAUAAAUAAUUAUAAAUAUAAUAAAAGAUAUAAUAAUAAAUCUAAUAAAAGAAUG
ensembl:lncRNA